AUGGCCGGGCGAGGAAGCUGGUCGGUGCCGACGGACGAGGACGUGCAAUCGCGCAUGGUGUUCCACACGACCGAAGUCGCAGACCUCACGUCCGAGCUCGGCGCGUAUUAUGUGGUCUUCCUGGCGGCGCUCGUGGGAAUGACGUCUGAGGAGAAGGCCGGCGCCAUAGCGCACUUGGGGAAGCACAUGGCAGAUGGGGCGGUGCUCGUCGCGCGAAGCGCGCACGGGGCGCGAGCGUUCCUGUAUCCUGUAGUGGAGCUGGACGAUAUCGGGCGUGGCGGGUUCCAAGUGCUGGCCGUGCACCAUCACGCGGGCGAUGAGGUGUUCAACUCAUUUACUGUUGCACGGAAGGUGAAGAUAUCACAAGAAAUGAGUGCAUAA
rnacentral:rRNA from 1 species